rnacentral:rRNA from 1 species
AUUGAACGCUGGCGGCAUGCUUUACACAUGCAAGUCGAACGGCAGCGCGGGCUUCGGCCUGGCGGCGAGUGGCGAACGGGUGAGUAAUGCAUCGGAACGUGCCCAGUAGUGGGGGAUAGCCCGGCGAAAGCCGGAUUAAUACCGCAUACGACCUGAGGGUGAAAGCGGGGGACCGAAAGGCCUCGCGCUAUUGGAGCGGCCGAUGUCGGAUUAGCUAGUUGGUGGGGUAAAGGCUUACCAAGGCGACGGUCCGUAGCUGGUCUGAGAGGACGACCAGCCACACUGGGACUGAGACACGGCCCAGACUCCUACGGGAGGCAGCAGUGGGGAAUUUUGGACAAUGGGGGCAACCCUGAUCCAGCCAUGCCGCGUGCGGGAAGAAGGCCUUCGGGUUGUAAACCGCUUUUGUUCGGGAAGAAAUCCUCUGGGCUAAUACCCCGGGGGGAUGACGGUACCGGAAGAAUAAGCACCGGCUAACUACGUG